rnacentral:rRNA from 1 species
CCUACGGGUGGCAGCAGUGGGGAAUAUUGCACAAUGGGGGGAACUCUGACGCAGCAACGCCGCGUGAAUGAUGAAGGUCUUCGGAUUGUAAACUUCUUUUGUACGGGAUGAACACAGUGACGGUACCGUAAUAAUAAGCCACGGCUAACUACGUGCCAGCAGCCGCGGUAAUACGUAGGUGGCAAGCGUUAUCCGGAUUUACUGGGUGUAAAGGGCGAGUAGGCGGUGUUGUAAGUCAGAUGUGAAAUCUAUGGGCUCAACCGCGAGGGUGCAGUUGAAACUGCUAGCCUUGAGUGCAGGAGAGGCAAGCGGAAUUCCCGGUGUAGCGGUGGAAUGCGUAGAUAUCGGGAGGAACACCAGUGGCGAAGGCGGCCUACUGGACUGCAACUGACGUUGAGGCCCGAAAGCGUGGGGAGCAAACAGGAUUAGAUACCCGUGUAGUC